rnacentral:lncRNA from 1 species
CUUAGAACUAUCAAACAAGCUCUUUUGACAAACCGGAUGUUCGCAUUAAAGCGGAGGUUGGAGGAAGGGGCAAUGGUGCUUUAUGAAUAAUACUUGUUACACAGCCAUCGCUGAGACCUCUCUGCCCAUGAUGAAAGCCUCAGGCGUUCACUCUCCCUCUUCCUCGUAAUUGCUCUGUAUCCAAGGUUUAAUAGACCUGCAGUUCCUGUGGAGAGCGGGCUCAUAUUGGAGAGCUGGAUCUCUCGACCCCGGCCGUCUGAGAGCUGUAACCUGUGGAAUAUGAAAAUAUGUUGGACUUUGGCAGAAGUGUGAAAUAACCAAGAGCUCAACAUUAAACUACUUGGAUAACCAGCUCUGGAAUACCAAGAAAGGGAUGGGAUAAAAAAUCUUUUGCAAGAAGUCAUUAAGAGUCUUUGGAAGAAGUAAUUUUGGUAUUCACAGAUGACAUUUACUUUGGAGAUAGAUACUCAAAAGCCGUAAGCAUGAAGGAUCCAGAAUUUAUCA